rnacentral:rRNA from 1 species
UCGAGAGGCUUCGGCAAUGGGGGAAACCCUGACCGAGCGACGCCGCGUGCGGGAUGAAGGUCUUCGGAUUGUAAACCGCUGUCAGAGGGGAAGAAUCCCCCCGGGAUAACACCUCGGGGGUUGACGGUACCCUCAAAGGAAGCUCCGGCUAACUCCGUGCCAGCAGCCGCGGUAAUACGGAGGGAGCGAACGUUGUUCGGAUUCACUGGGCGUAAAGGGCGUGUAGGCGGUCUGGCAAGUCAGGGGUGAAAUGCCACGGCUCAACCGUGGAAUUGCCUUUGAAACUACCGGACUUGAGGCCGUGAGAGGAGACUGGAAUUCCCAGUGUAGCGGUGAAAUGCAUAGAUAUUGGGAAGAACACCAGUGGCGAAAGGCGAGUCUCUGGCACGGUUCUGACGCUGAUGCGCGAAAAGCUAGGGGAGCAAACGGGAUUAGAUACCCCGGUAGUCCUAGCCGUAAACGAUGGGCACUAAGUGUCGGCCGAUCGACCCGUCGGUGCUGAAGCUAACGCGUU